rnacentral:lncRNA from 1 species
CCAUUGGUUGUUAGAGUGAGCCAUCCAUGAAACUAAGUUUCGCUUAGCACAUAGGGCUAUGAGCAUUGCCCUACAUCUGUUAGGGUAGUUGGCUUUGAUGAGGAGGAAAGAAACAAUGGCAUGGCCCAUAUCAUCAGAAGAUGAGAUGUAGUAUGGGGAAGAUGGGUUGUGAGCUGCAUUGGGCAUCACGGCCUGUGGAACCUAGAUGGGAUAGAUUUCGCUCUCGCUAGAUAUGACUAAUGGUGAGAAGGUGGA